AGUAACACGUGGGUAACCUGCCCUGAUGAUUGGGGCAACCCGAGGAAACUCGGGCUAAUACCGAAUGUGCCCUCCGGCCAUAAGGCCGCUGGGGAAAGGAAGCUUCGGCCUCCGCAUCGGGAUGGGCCCGCGGCCCAUUAGCUUGUUGGUGAGGUAACGGCUCACCAAGGCGACGAUGGGUAGCUGGUCUGAGAGGACGAUCAGCCACACUGGGACUGAGACACGGCCCAG
rnacentral:rRNA from 1 species